rnacentral:misc_RNA from 1 species
AAGCACGCAUGUGCACGGCAGAAGCAGCAGCCGUACAAGGCAUGCGUCAACAAUGAGCGAGAGACCAGCGGCACACCAGCCGUCUGCCCCACUUCCCUACUUUGCCCAUCUCCCUCUCUGACCUUAAAGCAUCGAGCGGACGACCUGAGAGUCCCCCUCGCCCCACCUCCCCGCACGCGCACGCAAUCCAAGGCCCUUGCGGAGACGAUGCGCUCCAAUGGCGCCGCGCACAUCGGCAACAACGUCUUCCUCGCUGUCACGCGCGAUGUCACAGACACCGCGUUCCUCUUCUCGAGCUCCUUCUCACCAGCAGAGCAGUUGGUACCGCUGCCGCUGAGUCGCAAAACACGCUUUCUUCCACACGCCUCCCUGGCAUGCGAUGAGGCGGAGCGCAGCCGGUAUGCCGAGUCCGCAGCGAGGGCGGGGCAGCCCACAGAGGACGUUAGCGUCAAAGAAGCGGUGGUUUCCGCCGCCGCCGCGUCGACGCCGCUGUUCCGCCACUCCGCCCACGCCUCUCCUGACGGUCACAAAAUCGCCUUCAUCAGCAACGUGCGCCGUCACCACUACAUCAUUGACAUCUCCGUUUUGCCAGCAGCGGUGUGUGAGCUGGAGAUGCCCGAGGUGGUGCAGAGCGUGUGCUGGCACACUGUGGCGCAUCACGCGCUGUGUGUGUUGUUCAUCUCGGGCGACCUGACCAUCUACGACACGGACCAGUCUUACUUGGGUGUCAUUGUGCCCCUACACCGUCGUAUCGCCCUUCGACCCGUCAUUGAGCGCAGCCUCUCUGACGCCGAGGCGCAUGUGCACCCUUCUCCCUCGAUCCAGUCGACGGCGCCAGCGACCAUUAGCCCUGCCAAGGGCGCAACCGCGCCAGACAAGGAGGAGUCGCAGAGUACGCGUGUCAAGGCUCUGGCUGGAAAAGUCAGCACCACCCGUCUGCCGCCUGCACGCCCGGCGCAUGCCACCACCGCAGAGGUGGCGGGAUUUCGCUCCUUGGCCCUCCACGGCAGUGACGACGCGAUCGUUACUGCAAGCAACAUCGCCCACCCACCAAGUCACGCCUUUUCAGAGCGCAUUGACCAUGACGAGAUGGUGCCAGUUUCCAGCGCUGAUGAGGUCGGUGCGGAGGGCGCUGCCUCGCACCCGCCGAUCCCCAAGCCCGCGAUGCUGCCCACCUCUCAGCUGGACCUUGUAGACAUGUACGCGCUGCCGCCGACGGAGAGCACCCCUGUUAUCCUUCUCCUACUCAGCAGCAGCGGCGACGUGUACGCAGUGCACCUCGGCGACGACUGCCUUCCCGUGGUCGCGACGGCAGCCGCCACCGACGAUGGCCGAGUCCGCACACGCGAGGAGGAGAUACUGCGGAGGGCCGAGGUGGCCGCGACCCCGCUGAGUGUGGAGGUGUAUCACCUCAUCUCUGGCGACGACACCGGCGCGGCCGGGGACGAGGCGGUCGCCGUUGGCGGCUGCCUUGUUGACGAGGACGCCGGCACGCACGCGGUGUUCUUCCUCACCGCCAACGGGCUCGUCAAGGGGGCGUGGGUGAGUGAGCCGGACCUGCUGGCCCGCCACCGGGUUGCGCACGUGCGCGCUGUUGGCUCGCCGAACAUAUGCUUCACGCUGCACCUCAGCGGCUCCCUGGGCGCACGGGCCUCUUUAGCCCCGGGCGUUCCAUCCAUCACGCACAGUGUGAGCAUGACCCUCUCUCAGAACGUGUGCGUGGUUCGCAGCGGCGUUGCAGGGGAGACGGCGUUUGUCAUGGCGUUUCCGCGAUGGGAUCGGCGGCGGCAGGGGUGGGCAUGUUGGCGCCCUGCCUGUGCCGACGCGCGAGAGCGGGAACGCGAAGCAGUAGCACUGCCGCUGCUUAGCACUGACGCUGCCCCACCGUCGCCCAUCGCUCUGCGUCUGCCCUACGACACAAGGGACGCGAGCAUUGCCGUGGGGUGCACCGAGCUCGUGCUGGUGCCGGAGGUGUCCACGAUGGACGGCUUGUGCGAGCGGGGCAACAUUCUGGCGAUUAGUCUCGCUGCCGUGCUGCGGUCCGCCCUGUACGCGCGCUGCGGCAAACUAGGGUUACACCCCUCCGCCGGCGCUGAAGCGACAUCACGCCUGCGUGAUCCUCAGCCGGCUGUGCUCGACCUGCUCAAUGCCGUGCCGGAGUGCCACCGCUGCUGGUUGCGCGGUGUUCCCGAGGCGGAGAUGAGCGCUGCAACGCUCAACCUCGUUAGGCGCAUCGAACAGCUCAGUGGCGACGUGAAUCGACGCGAAAUGGUGCAGGCGCAGCGGCGACGGCGGCUCGUGGAGCGGCUUGCCAGUCUCGAGGGCCGCGUUGCCGAGAUGGACGGCAUGCUGGCAGAGUGGCGGCAGAUCAUCCUCGAUGGGAUUGUGCACCGCCGUGGCGGUGACGCCUUCCGCACGGCCAACGCGCGCCUGAGGAAGGUGUUCACCAUGUUGAAUGAGCUGGAGCAGCAGCUGUAGUGCCCGCACGUGUAUCUACGCGCUCGUCUAGUCCUGCGUCAGAAUCCUUCGCCUACCGUCUUCCGCUGCCGCUCGUCCCAUGCAGGAUGCUUUGUGGAGAGGCGCCUGAGCGGCAGAGGACAAUGGGGUGCAACGCGGACGACCUGCUGCGGCUUGCGUGGAGCCGGUGAGGAAGGCGAGUCGUGUUGCUGGAGGGAGGCUCGGCGCAUCCGAUGCUGCCCUGUCCCUCCCCUCCUCGUCUGUGGGUGUGCCAGCGUUUUUUUUUUUCGGUCGGUGAGGUUGUUACUGUUGAAGUGCAGAAGUGAGGGAGUGCGCCAUUCGUACUUGGUAAACCGAAGAGGUGCGCGUGUGCGCAUGGCAAGUAGAGGC